GGCUCUUUGAAAUUGAUAGAUAAAGAGUCAGACCUGCCCAGUGAAAAUUUUUAACGGCCGCGGUACUCUGACCGUGCAAAGGUAGCAUAAUCAUUUGCCUUAUAAUUGAAGGCUUGUAUGAAUGGUUUGACAAGAAUAUAGCUGUCUCUAUAUAAUUUGAUAGAAUUUUAUUUCGAAGUGAGGAAGCUUGGAUAAAAUUGAUAGACAAGAAGACCCUAUCGAGCUUUAAAAGAAAUUGUGGAAGUACAAAAAUAAAUUUAGAAAAAUAUCUGUGAUGAAUUUUAGUUGGGGCGACUUAGGAACAUAUGAAGCUUCCUAGAUUUAAAAAUGAGCAAAGUGAUCCAAAAUUUUUUGAUUAAUGAAAUUAGUUACCGUAGGGAUAACAGCAUAAUCUUCUUUAAGAGUUCUUAUCGAAAAGAGGGUUUGUGACCUCGAUGUUGGACCAGAAUAUCCUAAAGAUGUAGCAGUCUUUAAGGGUUGGUCUGUUCGACCAUUAAAAUUCUACG
rnacentral:rRNA from 1 species